rnacentral:rRNA from 1 species
CACGUAGGCGGCACCGCAAGUGUGGGGUGAAAUCCCACGGCUUACCCGUGGAACUGCCUGGCAGACUGCGGUGCUAGAGGUUGGUAGGGGAGAGCGGGACUCUUGGUGGAGCGGUGAAAUGCGUAGAUAUCAAGAGGAACACCGGUGGCGAAGGCGGCUCUCUGGUCCAAUCCUGACGCUGAGGUGCGAAAGCUAGGGAGCAAACG